rnacentral:lncRNA from 1 species
UUUUUUUUCACUAUGUUUAGCAAUAUAAUUAUAUGUGUGUCUAAGCCUAGCAUUGAUGAUGCUUCUUGAAGAACAAGUUUACUGUGAUGUGAGAUAUUUAAAGAGUGAUUUAUUUUUUUUCUAGAUAAUUUAAAGGUUUAACGUUCUGCGGUACUAUACAGAACAAAUAUGCUCAGGUUGCAUUUUAAAUAAACAGCCAGAUUCUAUGUCAGUUAUACUGGUAUAAACUUUGAACAACUCUAGUGUUUUCAAGGAAAUUACCCUGUUACAAAGAUGUGAAGAAACAGAAUUUUACUCCAAUAUGUAUAAACUGUUUUCUGUAGUAAAGUUGAACUGUAUUUUUAAUGCAUAACUUGAAAUUUAAAACAACAUUGUUUCUCUCUUGACAUGGUCCUUUUUUCUCUGUUACUUGCAUUUCUGCAGUGAAAUAAUGUGAUCGGUUAACAUUUUACCUCCCUUGCACCCCCUGAGACCUCGUAGCUUUCAGUUACCUACAGCAAUUCUGAAGUUUCUGCACAAUGCCUCCAGAUCCUUGCUCUGUUACCAGUACAAGCAUCAAGCUUCUGCAGUGACUGAGAAUUUAUGCGCCCAAGAGGGGUUAUCACUGUGUGAGCAAUGCCUACCAUUCUGGGUAGGGGGACUUCACAUCUUCCUCAAGUGGAAGAGCCUUGCAAGGAAGACGAAGUCAAUCCAUGCUGCUGGUUCAGUAUCGUAAAUCAAGGGGUCGCCUCGUUAAAACUGAUAAGGUGGACUGUGUUUUUCUUCCCAAAUGAGAGAUUACAUUUGCUGGUACAAAUGCAGGGGUGAUGGUGCUUCUCACAGAGGCAAAAAGGCUCAGCAGUAUUCGUUCUGAGAAAGCUGAGAUUAGAGCAAAUGGGUUGCCACAAGUGGGGAGCUCAUCUCCCACCGAUGCCCCUCUCUCAGGAUGCUGUGGCCGUAGCUCCCAGCCGUGCCCCAAGUGCUACCAUGCCCCUGGUGACCCUCAGAAGAGGGGUGUGAUGCUGCACGGGGUGGUUGCACUUAAUUGGACUAAACUGCCUUGUUUGACUCCAGACUGCUCAGUUCUGCUGUAAUCCCACUAUUGCUUGUGUUCUUCCUGUGUUUCAGUUGUUGUUUGAAGUAACUUUUAUCUUGUAUUUGCUGUUCAAAGGAUCUUGUUAGAAGUUUGAGAAUAUUUUGACAGUUUGUUCAGUCAGUAUGUGAUACCUUUUCUGGAGUUGAUAUAGUUGAAAUUGCUACAGUAGGAAAUUGCCCUUAAUGUACUAUUUUUUACCUUAUUUUAAAGGUAUUGCGCCUUUGUUGCUCCCAUUUGCAUUAGUAGGUUUUCUUCUGAAAAAUAAACAGACUCUGCUCUAUCUAGAAAGAUUGGAACUCAAUUAACUGAGAAUUUACAGCCCAGCUUUUGAUGUUGGUAAUCAUGUGUUCUUAUUUAUUUCAAGUUUUUGUGGAUAUUUUUGCCAGGAAUUUCAUUGGAAAGUGAUCAUGUAAUUCAAAGUUACUGUAUAUUUACUAUAUUAAAAGUGCAAUAC